GCAAGUCGAGGGGUAACAGGAGUGCUUGCACUCGCUGACGACCGGCGCACGGGUGCGUAACGCGUAUGCAAUCUACCCUUUUCUGGAAGAUAGCCCUUAGAAAUGAGGAUUAAUACUCCAUAGUAUAACGAUUUCGCAUGUUAUUGUUAUUAAAGCUACGGCGGAAAAGGAUGAGCAUGCGUCCCAUUAGUUAGUUGGUAAGGUAACGGCUUACCAAGACUACGAUGGGUAGGGGGCCUGAGAGGGUUAUC
rnacentral:rRNA from 1 species